GCCGCUGUGGUCUAGUUGGUUAUGAUACGAGUCUCAUACUUCUGUGUGAACGCGAAUUUACGCGUGCGAUCUUGUGGCCGGGAGUUCGAUCCUCCCCGGUGGCA
rnacentral:tRNA from 1 species